GACGAACGCUGGCGGCGUGCUUAACACAUGCAAGUCGAACGGAAAGGCCCUGCUUUUGUGGGGUGCUCGAGUGGCGAACGGGUGAGUAACACGUGAGUAACCUGCCCUUGACUUUGGGAUAACUUCAGGAAACUGGGGCUAAUACCGGAUAGGAGCUCCUGCUGCAUGGUGGGGGUUGGAAAGUUUCGGCGGUUUGGGAUGGACUCGCGGCUUAUCAGCUUGUUGGUGGGGUAGUGGCUUACCAAGGCUUUGACGGGUAGCCGGCCUGAGAGGGUGACCGGCCACAGUGGGACUGAGAUACGGCCCAGACUCCUACGGGAGGCAGCAGUGGGGAAUAUUGCACAAUGGGCGGAAGCCUGAUGCAACAACGCCGCGUGCGGGAUGACGGCCUUCGGGUUGUAAACCGCUUUCGCCUGUGACGAAGCGUGAGUGACGGUAAUGGGUAAAGAAGCACCGGCUAACUACGUG
rnacentral:rRNA from 1 species